rnacentral:rRNA from 1 species
CCUACGGGAGGCAGCAGUGGGGAAUCUUGGACAAUGGGCGCAAGCCUGAUUCAGCCAUGCCGCGUGAGUGAUGAAGGCCCUAGGGUCGUAAAGCUCUUUCGCCAGGGAUGAUAAUGACAGUACCUGGUAAAGAAACCCCGGCUAACUCCGUGCCAGCAGCCGCGGUAAUACGGAGGGGGUUAGCGUUGUUCGGAAUUACUGGGCGUAAAGCGCGCGUAGGCGGACCAGAAAGUUAGGGGUGAAAUCCCGGGGCUCAACCCCGGAACUGCCUCUAAAACUCCUGAUCUAGAGUUCGAGAGAGGUGAGUGGAAUUCCGAGUGUAGAGGUGAAAUUCGUAGAUAUUCGGAGGAACACCAGUGGCGAAGGCGGCUCACUGGCUCGAUACUGACGCUGAGGUGCGAAAGUGUGGGGAGCAAACAGGAUUAGAUACCCUGGUAGUCCACACCGUAAACGAUGAAUGCCAGUCGUCGGGUAGCAUGCUAUUCGGUGACACACCUAACGGAUUAAGCAUUCCGCCUGGGGAGUACGGUCGCAAGAUUAAAACUCAAAUGAAUUGACGG